rfam:Triticum urartu cultivar G1812 contig1241960, whole genome shotgun sequence.
CAAGUACUCCCUCCGUCCGAAAUUACUUUCCAUCAAAAUGGAUGUGUCUAGAACUAAAAUACAUCUAGAUACAUCCAUUUCAAUGACAAGUAUUUUCGGACGGAGGGAGUACAAG